AUUUCAAGAACCUACAAGAAGAAAGGUGGUUUAUCGCGUUGUCCAGGCCUGUGCAAUUCUCUGCCGGGAGGUUUGAAACAUGACCAACUUGCUACAACACAAAAGGUCUGGACUAUGGAGUGCAGCAUUACUUGUUUGGUCAUCUACAUUCAGAUGAAAACACCACACUCCUCUCUAAUUCAAGAUUUCAAGAUUUUCAUCGCAAGGAGAGUUAGCAUUAAAAUGUAUGUGUCACUGACCAAUAACAUAGAGAUGCCAG